UGCCACAUUUUCCCUCAAACGCAAGUUACGCAACCAGCCGACUGCCAUACCCCGUACGGUCAUUGCAUGAGGAUUUCCUAGCCGUGUAUAUCCCAUUCGAGGCUAGCGACCGCAACGGAAGUUUUGGGAUAUGGUUUUCAUUCUCCAACGACCCGGUUGUCCUCCAGCGACGUAACACCACAGACACCCAAGACCAGUUCCAAUCCCACGCCCGGAGCAAGGGGGAAUUUCUUCAUUUUGUUGAGCAUGGAAACGGCCAUUAUUCCAAACACGAGGGUGAUAUAGAUGGUGACGUCAAGAUGGCUGACAUAUUCGAUCGCCGCGACAGCACAAGCGAGACCAUUGAACGAGCCCUGGACGAAAUUUUGAAUAGCAGAAAAUGAUAUACAUACAAGGCAUUCCCCUGACCUUACAUCUCCAUACGGAUCAUCCAUCGACCAUUCACUCAGUUUCGCCUCGGCUCGAAUUUGCUCCUGUCUUGUUUUCUGUUCGUUUUCUGUUCGUUUUCUUGAUAUUUUCUCUUGGUUUUGUUAACUAACCAUGAGUAUUUGUACCUACCUCAAAUCCCGAGGACAUCUCGCUCUCAAAGAAGACGCUUCGUUCACCA
rnacentral:sRNA from 1 species